UUCCGUGGCAGUAUGAUAGUGUGAUGUCUUAACUGGACUGGUAUACCUCAUUCCUUAUUUAACUAUUUCAGAUCAGGAAGACAUUGUUCCCGAGCCCGUUCCGCAGGAAGACAGCGAAUGAGACGCCUAAAGACUCCAUAGCUAUAUUUGUAGUUCUUAUUUCGAGUAUCUCUUUUAUGUUAGUUUGUUCUUUCAUGUUUUGAGUAUGU
rnacentral:lncRNA from 1 species